GCAUCACAGGAAAUACCAAAAUCAGCUAACAACUAUUGAGGCCAUACAAUCUCUAUAGUGGUAGUAGUAAGUGCUCGAAGUUUUGCCUUUGUAUUAGAAUGAGAUACAAUUGCUUGUUUCUUGGACUUCCAUGCGACAGAAGAACCAAGAAGAAUGCAUAGCCUAUGAUGGAGCAGACAUCCGUGAGAUUAGAGUUCGAGUAAGCAUGAGUUGAAACAAACUAUCAUAACUCAUAAAUAUAGAACAAAAGCUGAAAUGAUGUCACCAAUACAAAAGCAAAUGGCCAACAUAAGUAGGAGCAUAGAGCACUCACAAACUGACUUAAAAUGAAUUGUCUGAGUAAUAUGGGUCUAGUAAUAGUAAGGCCAAAUAGGGUGCCCACAAUAUGUUGAUAUCGUGAAGGAUCCUCAGAGGUGUACCAUCAGUAGCACAAAGCUACAAGCGCAAAUCCAUAUGCAUUGCAUUGGUGGGAUGACCAACAAUGUCUGAACAAGCAGUAAGGUCUUGGGUGCAUCCCUUGAUAGAAUGGAAAACUUCAAUACGUAAGACAAAAUACUAAGAGGACCCAAAUUAGAAAUUUGAGAUUGCUCACCAAGCUCUUCUCAUCAAAUGUGUUUGACAUCAUCUUCGGUAAUCAACAUGUCAUCAACUUAACCAAAGUACAACCACUUGGAGAGUGGUGAAUAAAUAGAACACAAUCAUGAGAGCUAGGUGAAACAUAGCAACCCGUAUCACAGAAACAAAACGCUCAAACCAAGUGUGAGGAGCUUGUUUAAGACCAUAUAAAUCUGGACGAAGACGACAAACAUAUCUAGAGGGAGCAUCUAUACCCAAAGGUGGUUGCAUAUAAUUUUUUGUUCAAAACACCAUAAAGAAAAGGCAAUCUUGACAUCCAUAUGAGGGAUGUGGAAGGACUGUGACGCCUAAGAGGGUGGGUGAAUUAAGCAACUUAAGACUCUAUUUCUAACUAUGACCUCUCAAAGGAUCAAGAUGCCCAAGAGGGGGGGGGGGGGGUGAAUUGGGCUAAUUCUAAAAAUUAAAGCGGUAAUUAAAACCUAUUAGCCCAUCUUCACCUCUAGGUGUCUAAAGUGUGUUUCCUACCAAUUCUAUUGGGAUAAAAGUUUUGCACCCUAGGUUCCAAUCCUAUUCUAGCAUAGCAAUUUAGGAAUGUAGAUACAAGAAUUUAAAUGCUUGAAAGUAAAAGCUCAAAGUAAAGAGGAAAGGAACGCCAUGAUAUUUUGCCAAGGUAUCAGCGAGUCGCCACUAGUCCUCGUUGGAGCACCUGUGCAAGGGUAUAGCUCCCCUUUGAUCCGCACAAGGAUCAAGUGCUCUAUAAAAGCUGAUUCUUCAUCGCUCCGAUGUUGUGAAUCACCCAAACCGUUCACAAGAUGGGGUCAUCCACAAGCUCCGCCGGAUGAUCACCAAGCUCCCAAUCACCACCAAGCCAUCUAGGUGAUGGCGAUCACCAAGAGUAACAAGCAGAAACUCUCACUUGAACACAACAAGCCUAAUGAGAAGGAUAGAUUCACACUUGCUACUCCCUAUGCACUAAUGAGGUCGUUAAUCUUGGAUUAUCAAAUCUCAAACACCUCACUAGCUCUUGCACUCCAUUGCACUCAAAUGGAUGCUUCAGUUGAUCAAAUGGGCAAGAGGGGUGCUUUGGACGAGUAGGAGUUGUACUUAUAGGCCAAGCCCUCAGAACCAACUGUUACCCUCCGAUUUAGCACCUGUCGGGGUCGUCGGACACUCCGACGAUAGGUGUCGAACGCGUCUGACACGUUCAAAUCGAGUGCUGAUAUAGUUGAUCAUUAGGGGCGCGUUGGACUCUGGCCAACGUUGGGUGCUUGCAUAUCAGACAUGUCUGACGCGCCGGAGCAAACUCAAACCUCCCUACAUAGCAUCGGGUGCUAGGUUUAGUGUUCGACACUAAACCCUAGCAGCGUUCGAUGGGUUGUAGAGGUCUGCCUUUGCUACAGUGCGAACACCAGAGUGUUCGAUGCCUCAGCACUGGUGCAUUUGACGCACCUUUUCUCUGUAGCUGCGCAUGUGUUAUAUAGGUCAGAUGUUGUCGUCAACGUCCGAUGCUCACCAGUCCAGCGUUUGAUGCAGCAGCAAGUCCCCAUUUUACUUCCAACUCAAAUUCUUUGUGAACUGAGAUGACUUCAAUCAAUCUUAGGGACAAAGUGAAGCUACCUAGUGCUAAGUUUUACAGGUGUGUACCACACCUAACCAUUAGACUCACCUAGGUCAAGCUACCUGUUUGCACCCCUUUAAUAGUACGACCAAAGGAAAAACAAAGUCCUAAUGACUAAUUCGAACAUCAUUCAACUCCUUUCGAUGUUUGGAACUAACCGUCCUUAACCUUAUCAUCCAUCCAUUGAAAAUCGAAAUGAUUUCCAUCUAUAGGGGCAUGAAAACCAUAUUGCCCUAGAUUGCCAUUACCAUGAUCUAACUCUCUAAUGUUUCUACAAAACACACGUUAGUCAUAGUAAUCAAUGGUUGUCAUCAAUCAUCGAAACCCAUUCUAGGGGCCUAAAUGCUUUCAAUCUCCCCCUUUUUUGUGAUUGACAACAACACCUCUAGAGUUUAUAAAAAGAGUUUGAGGUUUUCAACAUGCUUGGACCACAUGAGCUUUGACACUAAAAUCAAAAGGGGUCAGGGAUGCUCAUGUGACCUAUGAGCUCCAACUGAGAGAUUAGGCCAAGGUACUACUGCUGGGUGGCCUGGUUCUGCCUCUGAAUCUUAGCCUGCUGCUGCUAGAGCUCUAACUAUUGUUGCUGAAGAUCUAAUUAAUGCUGUUGGAAUGCAUCCUAUUGAGCGUGAACCUUAGCAAAAGUUUUUGCUGUCUAUGCCCUAUCCUAUGCUCUCUCCUACCCCUGUGUCAAAUGCUCAAGUAGCCCAAGUAGAGCUAGGUUGGUGCGAGAAGCAGAGCCAGAGCUAUCAGCCUCGUCAUCGUGUGCUACUCUGGGGACAAACUGAGGAAGCAACUAGUAGUCAUUGUCUGAGCUGUCAAUGGGGUAGAAUUCAUGGACCCAUGCUUGAACAUAAGAGUCACUCUUGCCAAGCAAAUCUGCUAGCCCCCGGCAAAUAGGUGAAGUAGUGGUGGAUCUCAUCUCCCAUCAUAGAUGCAAUGCUGUUAAUAGAGAUCACUCUAUGGCCACUGAAUGGGCCAUUUGUAUCAACAUAUGCUCUGAAGAAAUCCUCCUAGAGUGCAGUGUGAAAGUACUCAACACCUGCCUGCCUUUGAGGCGGAAACCAAGUGUCAAGCAGAACCCGACGAAGCUCCUGCACUUUGCGAGUCCUAAUAGCCCUAAGGUCAAAGUGUCACACCUCAGUGGCUUUGGGCAGUCUCAGUGCCUGGCGACCACCAUGUCGGGGUCUCUCAGCAGUAGGAUAAGUCACUACCUAAGUAUGAGCACGGGUGGACUGACGGCGAGAUGGUGAGGCCUCCUAUGUCUGCUGCUGUUGAUUGACCACCCUGACUGUCUAAGGGGUCUCCACUGACUUUGGAGUGUCCUCCUAAGCCUCUGCCUCCUCUAUACCUGCUAUGCCAAGCACUCGACCCUCAAGCUGCCACCCCUAUGGCCUCUGUCAUAGGCAUCUAGCACUGCCUUUGCCUCUGCUGCCUCUCUCCUCUCUAGUGUGCUUCCUUUUGGAUGUCACUUUGGCUUUCUAUCGAUGUUUGGACCCAUGGUCCUAACACUAACUAGUGAAUUUGUAUCUGCAUGUCCUAAUCCACAUGGUGAUACAGGAAGAACAUAGGAGAUUUAUAUGGAUUCAGGACAAAAGAGUGCCCUAUGUCUAGUGUGGGGGAUUGUCUUGUAUUAUCCUACACCGAGGUGCUCGUAGUAGGGGUUACAAGCAGGGCAUGAGAGAGGGAAUGAGUCCCAAGUCUCAGCUCUUUGUGUGAGAAAGGUGUGUUAAUGCUUGUGAGCCUAUGUGCUUGUUAUGUCUCUUGAUCGUGUCGGCCCCCUUUGAACUAGAUCCUACCUCCUCCUUUUAUAGUUCACAAGGGGAGGCAGUUGAUACAUAGGUAUGGGUAUGUGUUGUAGUGCUAUAGUCUUGGUCGAGGCAAGGGAUGAUGUAUGGCAUCGUAUGGUCAGCGACUACAUGCUUUUGGUACGCUAAGAGCGAUCGCACAGGUAUAUCCCUGCCAUGCUCCUCUCCUCCAAUCAAGGCUAGUAGGAAGGUUGGUUCUAUCUCUGGAACGACCUUGAUGGUUUCCCCUCCCACCAGGAAAGGUCGUCAUGAAGAGGUCGGAGAAGUGGAAGUGGGGGAUGGUUGCGAAGGACUUGCCAAAGCUAGAACCCCUCCUAAGGGCCUUAGAGAGGCUGAAGGACAAGGGUCUAAUGGCGGCCGGUGUAGUGGCUGCCUUCCAUGGUCGGAGGGUGCUGCCACAGGCCUAGUGACCUUUAUUCCUAUACUAGAUGGAGCCAUCUGCCUCACUGGUGGGGACCUAGAUAUCCCAAGAGGCCCUUCCUAGUGAAGAGAUCGCUAGGUGUGUGACCUAUACAGUGGCAACAACACUGACGGUUGGCGUCAAUGUGUUCCUGAUGCGCCUCGAGAAAGGGUACAUCAGUCUAGUAAGUGUGGCCUUGGCCUUGGACCUUCCUUCCCUCCUUUUUCCUUGGUUUCUCUUUUUGAUCUUGAAAUAGCGUGUCUCGGGAGGCACUAUAACCGGCACUGAGAUGACCGCAGAUGAUCCCGAGGCAUGGGUCACUGGGAAGCAUCCUGUAACUCUGGCACUAGAGCCCCUGAGGGUUGUCAAGGCGCUUGCACCUGCGGCUGAGCCUCCGAGGGUCACCGAGGUCGUGCCUACCCUAGAGCCCUUGAGGGCCGCCAAGGCCGCGCCCACCCUUGAGCCCUCGAGGACCACCGAGGCCACGCCUGCCCCAGAGCCCCUAAGGAUCGAGGAGCAGGGGGAGGUCAGGGCUCUAUAUUUGGGCCCUACAUUGCCACCCUCGCCCACGCCCCCAUGUGCCGAUCCAAAUAGCGGGUCGGCCGUUUCGGUAGCUGGGGCGGCUAGGCUUAUCCCCUGGGCAAGAUGAGUCUCUAUCUCCUUUGUGAUUUUUAUUGUUUCUUUUUGCUUUCUGUUUUGUAUUGACCAACAUGCUCUACUCUCUCAACCGAAAGCAGAAGGCACCCUUACUGGGGCUAGUGCCCCACAAGGUGUUAAAGAUUGGGGUCGCAUCUACGGCGAGAGCCACCAAGUGGGCGGUGCCUGUGCCUAUUGUGGCCGACCCUGCUAUGGCACGGUGGGCUGCGGAGGUAGUGAAUGCCAUCCGUAGCGGGGCUGAGAGGGUCCACACUGUGAGGGAAAGGGCGGUCGAGGCCUAGGUUGCCGAGGUCAGGUCCCCCAUAGUAUAGGAAUCCAAGGCUAUAGAGGAUGUUUCUACGGUUGGGACCAAGGAUGUAGCCCCAGCCAACGCCAAGAAGACUGCACAAUUUGGGGAGAAUGUUCUGUCUGUGCCAGAAGUAGGGGUCAUUGCAGAGGUGGUUAGCGUCUCCUCCGAUGUGCCUCCCCCCCGAAACUGCAUGACAUAGGGGUGAUGGGGGUGGAGAUCAUGAGCACCAUCGAUGGGCCCACUGCCCCGAGCCCCAACUUAGGGGGGAAGGGGAGGACAAGGAUGAGGAUGAGGAGGACAACAAUGAGCUAGAGACAGCCAUCACCCGCACCGGGGCAACCGCUAUUCCUGGGGUGGUCCUCAAAUUGAAUGGCAUGACUGAUCCCUUCUGAGGGAGAGAUCGACGUUCAUUAUCGAUGAUAACAUCGAGAUUUACCAUUGGAGAGACCUCUAGGGAUUUGGUGUCGAGGCCAUGGCAACCGCCCAGAAGGCUAUGGAUAUCAUCAACCGAGAUCUCUAUUCUGUCGCCCGAGUAAGUUGGUUCCUCAUUGCUUUAAGUUGGUUCUUUUCUUGUGUCUCGAUGUGUUUUCUAAAACUAUUCUCCCUCUUAGGAUCUUGCGAGGAUGUCUUGGGAGAAAUUCGAGUUCAUCCAUUGAGAGUCUACGAUUUGGGCGGUGCUGGAUUAGGAGAAAGGGCUCCAUGAGCGGGUGGAGUGGCGACUAUCAGAGAAGAGCACCGAGGUGGAGGAUCUCUGCCUUCUGGGGAGGACCUCCACCUCUGGUGCUCUAACCUAGUGGCCGAGGCCAUGGCUAUGUAGGAGAAGGUCGCCCCACUAGCAGAGAGGAUCUGGGAGAUGGAGGUAGCUCUUAUGCGGGAGUCCACUGAGCGAAGCGUCCUGGUGGGAACUUUCAAGGACAAGCUCACCCAGGUCAAGGGGGUCUUGGUGGAGCCGGACAACGUCCUAGACCAGGCCACUAAGGACCUAGAUGAGUCCCGUGGCUUUGCUUAGUGGUGGCAAGGGAAGGCCAAGCCCGAGGAGGUGUAUUUGGAAGAAAGCCUAAAAUACCACUAAGGUUUCUCUAGGUGAAACAAAAUUUUUGGGUGAACAGUCUAAAAUAAAUUCCUGUUUCAGUGAGUUUUAGGGUGCAAAGAAAUUCUAUGGUCAAGAGCCUAGACCCUAACUCAGUGAUGGUUGCAAUAGAACUCCAACCAACAAACUGGAAAAUAGUGUCAAGUCCACUAGCCAUACCUGCUUCGCAGAGAAAUACUUCAUCGAGGACUAGUGUGUGUGUGAAUCUCCUGCUCUUGAGCUUGUUGUAGAUACUCUUUUCUCGAUAACCUCUCAAGGCAAGGUGAGAUGCCGUGAGGAGAAUCCUCCGGUGUGCAGCGGAAGAAGAUGCUGACUAAGGGACGAUCUGACUGAGGGAUGACGGGAGGAUCAAUACUCAUGUUGAAGCCGACCCUUGAUGAAGCAUACCAGGACGAGCUCCUUGUGCUCCUGCCCGUGACCUUGUUGGUGAAUCCUUUGGCCCAACUCUUUAUCCUGCAAAAAUUUCUUACAAACAACAAUACUAGUGCAAGGGGUUAGUCAAGGAUUAGCGGUUAGCCGUCCAGAGGUUAGUCAUUCUUUCAAGAUUAAUUCUAGUUUCUAGUUUGGAUUUCGGCAGAACCUCCCCUUAAUUUUAGAAUUCUUAAUCCUAUUCAGACAGCACCUCCACUAUUUUUCUAUGAGAUUCUUGUAGCACUACCCCUCUCUACACUAGCUCUUGAGCUCUUGCUCACUCUCCUUACUUCUCACUCCUUUCUCUACUCUUUCUAGUCUCCAUCCCUAUCAAAUUCUCCUUGGACAACUUGAAGUCGAGAGCAAGGUUAUUGGCUAUAUAAAC
rnacentral:lncRNA from 1 species